AGAGAGCUAUUAAGUGAACUUUAUUCAUUGCUUGUUAAUUUUCUGAUUUGACAUAUCCUAACAGAAUCUUCUUGUGAAAGACGCCACAAAAUUGCGGUUUGGAUUGAGUUCUGUGACUACCGAAUUUCUGAAGGGAGACAUUCGUAAUCCUAAAAUUGUGCCGACAAGAGUCACGUAAUCACCAGGAAGCACACGUUAAUGUCUCUUCAUAUGUGGCUGCGAAGGAGAGUGGACAAAGAGGUUCUUUCAGAGUCUCAAAUCUGUUCCAGUGAAGGCUCUUGCUGCAGUGUUGGGGAGGAUAUAUCUUGACAAUCCCCUAACCAGAUUGUUUUCACUGCUGGAGGUAUGCCUCCCCUUACCUCGAGCAAGGCAGAUUCUUUCCAGAGAGAAAUGGAGCCGUGGAAAAGCAAAAAUAGGAACAGAUGGGAUUCCAUGACAGUGCUGCCUUAUGA
rnacentral:lncRNA from 1 species